UGUUCUUCUAAUGAAGUUACCUAUACAUGGCAAACAAUCUCCAUCAGAGAACAGGAAUUUGCUGCUUUGAUUAUGUGGUACUUUGAAACAGAAAGUUCCCUUUCCAAUGUUGUCCUUGAUAUUGAGUGAAAAGCAUCAUCCUUUCAAAAAUUUGCAGACAUUUUUGUAUCAGGAUGGGUGACACGUAGCAGUCGUUAAGAAGGAGGAAGAAUAUGGAUAGAAUGGUAGAACAUCUUUGACUUCACAUCAAACAGCUCAGAUUGGGAACUUUCCAAAGCUACCAGCCAAACAAACAAUCAUCAAUUAAAGUCCAAGAGCUCAUGGGUAUAAAUUUGAGUGAUGGUAAUCAAGGUAUGAUUUUAAAUAUUAAUGAUUCAAUAA